rnacentral:rRNA from 1 species
AUUGAACGCUGGCGGCAUGCCUAACACAUGCAAGUCGAACGGCAGCACAGCCCGCAAGGGUGGGUGGCGAGUGGCGGACGGGUGAGGAAUACAUGGGAAUCUACCCUGUCGUGGGGGAUAACGUAGGGAAACUUACGCUAAUACCGCAUACGACCUCCGGGUGAAAGCGGCGGACCGCAAGGCGUCGCGCGACUGGAUGAGCCCAUGUCGGAUUAGCUAGUUGGCGGGGUAAAGGCCCACCAAGGCGACGCUCCGUAGCUGGUCUGAGAGGAUGAUCAGCCACACUGGAGCGGGGCGCCGGGCCAGACUCCUACGGGGGGCAGAAGUGGGGAAUAUUGGACAAGGGGCGCAAGCCUGAUCAAGCAAUGCCGCGUGGGUGAAGAAGGCCUUCGGGUUGUAAAGCCCUUUUGUACGGGAAGAAAUCCUGUCGGUUAAUACCCGGCGGGGAUGACGGUACCGUAAGAAUAAGCACCGGCUAACUUCGUGCCAGCCGCCGCCGUAA